rnacentral:rRNA from 1 species
CGGACGGGUGAGUAACGACGUGGAAAACCUAGCCGUAUACUGGGGAGUAACACUUAGAAAUAGGUGCUAAUACCGCAUAAGCGCACAGCUUCGCAUGAAGCGGUGUGAAAAACUACUGGUGGUAUACGAUGGUUCCGCGUCUGAUUAGCUAGUUGGUGGGGUAAUGGCCUACCAAGGCAACGAUCAGUAGCCGGCCUGAGAGGGUGAACGGCCACAUUGGGACUGAGACACGGCCCAAACUCCUACGGGAGGCAGCAG